GCAGCAAGCCAGACGACCGCCCCCGCGCAAGCGGGAGAGGAAAGUCCGAACUCCGCAGGGUAGUGCGCCGGGUAACGCCCGGUCAGGGUGACCUGAAGGAUAGUGGCACAGAAAAGAUACCGCCCGACUUCGCGCUUCGCGCUUCGUCGGGCAGGCCCGCGGGGCUUGCCCGACGUAGCUCGCCGGUACGCCGCAAGGCGCCGGCGAGCGGAGGAGGGUAAGGGUGAAAAGGUGCGGUAAGAGCGCACCGCGCCCGUGGUAACACGGGUGGCAGGCAAAACCCCGCACGGAGCAAGACCAAAUAGGGAGGCGCCCGGCGAAAGCCGGACCGGACGGCCCGUCCGAGUCUCCGGGUAUGUCGCUUGAUCCCGCCAGCAAUGGCGGGACUAGAGGAAUGGUCGUUAUCCCGCCGAAGCGCCGCAAGGCGCGGAGGCGGGCACAGAAUUCGGCUUACCGGCUUGCUGCGACG
rnacentral:RNase_P_RNA from 2 species